rnacentral:rRNA from 1 species
UAGAGUUUGAUCCUGGCUCAGAUUGAACGCUGGUGGCAGGCUUAACACAUGCAAGUCGAGCGGGGAAAGGUAGCUUGCUACCUGACCUAGCGGCGGACGGGUGAGUAAUGCUUAGGAAUCUGCCUAUUAGUGGGGGACAACAUUCCGAAAGGAGUGCUAAUACCGCAUACGCCCUACGGGGGAAAGCAGGGGAUCUUCGGACCUUGCGCUAAUAGAUGAGCCUAAGUCAGAUUAGCUAGUUGGUGGGGUAAAGGCCUACCAAGGCGACGAUCUGUAGCGGGUCUGAGAGGAUGAUCCGCCACACUGGGACUGAGACACGGCCCAGACCCCUACGGGAGGCAGCAGUGGGGAAUAUUGGACAAUGGGCGAAAGCCUGAUCCAGCCAUGCCGCGUGUGUGAAGAAGGCCUUUUGGUUGUAAAGCACUUUAAGCGAGGAGGAGGCUACUUAGAUUAAUACUCUAGGGUAGUGGACGUUACUCGCAGAAUAAGCACCGGCUAACUCUGUGCCAGCAGCCGCGGUAAUACAGAGGGUGCGAGCGUUAAUCGGAUUUACUGGGCGUAAAGCGUGCGUAGGCGGCUUUUUAAGUCGGAUGUGAAAUCCCUGAGCUUAACUUAGGAAUUGCAUUCGAUACUGGGAAGCUAGAGUAUGGGAGAGGAUGGUAGAAUUCCAGGUGUAGCGGUGAAAUGCGUAGUAGAUCUGGAGGAAUACCGAUGGCGAAGGCAGCCAUCUGGCCUAUACC